GACUUCUUAGCUCAGUGGUAGAGCGUGUGAUUCCAGCAUAAUAUUGGUGGAAUUUCCACAAGGUCAUCUGUUCAAUCCAGGUAGAGGUCA